rnacentral:rRNA from 1 species
AGUACGUGAAACUGCUUAGAGGUUAAACCCGAUGAACCUGAAUAUCCAUUAUGGAAAAUUCAAUACUAAUAUUACAAUAUAUAUCAUAUUUGUAAAAAUAGUGUGCAAUUUUUCCAUAUAAGGACAUUGUAAUCUGUUAAUGUAAUAAUUAUUUAUCAAAAGAUUCUUUACUUAAGUUUAUUCAAAUUGUUUAUUUUCGGAUAUUCAACAUAAAAUAAAUGUAUUGAAUUGGAUAAAUCAUUGACAGAUAUAAUUAUAUAAUGUGCUCAAAUUCUAUGGAAUUUUACAAUGAUAAAUGAAUCUAUUGAUUUGUUUAUUUAUUUGUCUGCACUAUUAUGAUUAACAAUGCGAUAGAUUCAGGAUACCUUCGGGACCCGUCUUGAAACACGGACCAAGGAGUCUAACAUAUGUGCAAGUCAUUGGGUAUUUAUAAUAAAACCCAAUGGCAUAAUUAACUUAACUUUAUUUAUAAUGGGAUUAGUUUAUAAUUUAUUAUGAAUUAUUUAUUCAAUCCCGGGGCGUUCUAUACAGUUAUGUAUAAUGGUAUUUAUAUUAUUUAUACCUCUAACUAGAGCGUACCUUGAGC